UGGUGGAGUGAUUUGUCUGGUUAAUUCCGUUAACGAACGAGACCUCGACCUGCUAAAUAGUUAGUCUUACCCUUUGGGUAAUGAUUCGCUUCUUAGAGGGACUAUCGGUUUGUAGCCGAUGGAAGUUCGAGGCAAUAACA
rnacentral:rRNA from 1 species